CGGCCAGAUUGGAGCCGAAGCUCGGUGAACAACGAGAACGGAGGGAUGCCCGAACUCCUUUAAUCGCCGACUACCUCGCCAGUAAAACCGGUCGUUACUGAAAAACGUUCUAAUGAGUCAGACGGUCAGGAACAGCAAGAAACUAAGGAUUCAGCGGCUAGCUAAGCUAAAUUAGGUUAAUACGCGAAAUUUGAAAACAUGUGCUUCAGUUACAUCUAUACGAAAAAAUUUUCACUAAAACGUAAGCUAAUUGCAUAGCUUAUCGAGAAUCCACUGAGAAGCUAAAACGAAUU